GACGAACGCUGGCGGCGCGCCUAACACAUGCAAGUCGAACGAGCGAGAGAGAGCUUGCUUUCUCAAGCGAGUGGCGAACGGGUGAGUAACGCGUGAGGAACCUGCCUCAAAGAGGGGGACAACAGUUGGAAACGACUGCUAAUACCGCAUAAGCCCACGACCCGGCAUCGGGUUGAGGGAAAAGGAGCAAUCCGCUUUGAGAUGGCCUCGCGUCCGAUUAGCUGGUUGGUGAGGUAACGGCCCACCAAGGCAACGAUCGGUAGCCGGACUGAGAGGUUGAACGGCCACAUUGGGACUGAGACACGGCCCAGACUCCUACGGGAGGCAGCAGUGGGGAAUAUUGCACAAUGGGGGAAACCCUGAUGCAGCGACGCCGCGUGGAGGAAGAAGGUCUUCGGAUUGUAAACUCCUGUUGUUGAGGAAGAUGAUGACGGUACUCAACAAGGAAGUGACGGCUAACUACGUGCCAGCAGCCGCGGUAAAACGUAGGUCACAAGCGUUGUCCGGAAUUACUGGGUGUAAAGGGAGCGCAGGCGGGAAGACAAGUUGGAAGUGAAAUCUAUGGGCUCAACCCAUAAACUGCUUUCAAAACUGUUUUUCUUGAGUAGUGCAGAGGUAGGCGGAAUUCCCGGUGUAGCGGUGGAAUGCGUAGAUAUCGGGAGGAACACCAGUGGCGAAGGCGGCCUACUGGGCACCUACUGACGCUGAGGCUCGAAAGUGUGGGUAGCAAACAGG
rnacentral:rRNA from 1 species